rnacentral:rRNA from 1 species
UACGUAGGGUGCGAGCGUUAAUCGGAAUUACUGGGCGUAAAGCGUGCGCAGGCGGUCCGCAAAGUCUGAUGUGAAAGCCCCGGGCUCAACCUGGGAACUGCAUUGGAAACUAACGGGCUCGAGUGUGGCAGAGGGGGGUGGAAUUCCACGUGUAGCAGUGAAAUGCGUAGAGAUGUGGAGGAACACCGAUGGCGAAGGCAGGUCUCUGGGCUAUAACUGACGCUCAUGCACGAAAGCGUGGGGAGCAAACAGG